GCCCCAGUGGCGAAUGGUCCGCACCUGCAGCGAAUUCAAACGUCAUGAAUGAGUUUCCGCGGGGGUCGCUCGUUCGAGUCGAGCCUGGGUCA